rnacentral:misc_RNA from 1 species
AGUUGAGUUGAGUUGAGUUGUUCAUUUGUAAGCACCUUAUCACAAUCCCAAGCCCUAGAACAGUAGUUCAAAAGUCGCAAAGUUGUUUAAAGUGCAGAUUAAAAUCAAAUAGAGGCUGCAGCCGUUGCUUAUGUUAAUUUAUAUACAGAUAUUGACACAUAUGAGAUGUUCCAAACAAUUGCUAUUAUCAAAAUAGCAUCGGUUGCAGCUUCAUGGGUCUUCUGCAAGAAAGACAGAACCGAUUAACCCAUGGAUGAAAAAACUUUGAUUGCAAAAUAGAUCCAUACCCUUUUGGGAUUGAUUAUACCUUAUCUAAUUUUCUUUGUAAGAGUAUAUUGAUAUACAUUAAAGUGCUAAUAACAUGAUUUUAUAUAUGGGCCAUUGCAGACCAAUUCAGCCAAUUUUGUUAUACCUGUUUGUCAAUCUAUUAUUUAAAACCCUGUUUGCUAAAGGUUUUCAAAAAAAAAAAAUCAUGAAAUCAGCAGCUGAUUCAGUGCAUUUCAGAUUGAUUCAGUCUUAUUCCAUUAUUUAAAACCCUGGAUAGUAAUGCUAACAUUACUAUUAGAAGCCCACUUAAAGAACUUUAGACUGGUAAUAUCUCAAUUUAAGUCCAAAAAAGGUAAUAACUGAAUCUUUAACUGGUACUCCAUUACUCCAUCUAUAGCCAACAAGCAUGAUGGCCUAUUGCAUACUUUACCAAAGAGUACGCAAUCCUGCAGGUGCAAAUACGUGA